CGUAGGGGCGAGCGUUGUCCGGAAUUAUUGGGCGUAAAGAGCUCGUAGGCGGCUCAGCAAGUCGGCUGUGAAAUCCCGAGGCUCAACCUCGGAACUGCAGUCGAUACUGCUGUGGCUAGAGUCUGGUAGAGGAGAGUGGAAUUCCCGGUGUAGCGGUGAAAUGCGCAGAUAUCGGGAGGAACACCAGUAGCGAAGGCGGCUCUCUGGGCCAGUACUGACGCUGAGGAGCGAAAGCGUGGGAGCAAACAGGAUU
rnacentral:rRNA from 1 species